rnacentral:rRNA from 1 species
GAUGAACGCUGGCGGCGUGCCUAAUACAUGCAAGUCGAGCGAACAGACGAGGAGCUUGCUCCUCUGACGUUAGCGGCGGACGGGUGAGUAACACGUGGAUAACCUACCUAUAAGACUGGGAUAACUUCGGGAAACCGGAGCUAAUACCGGAUAAUAUCUUGAACCGCAUGGUUCAAUAGUGAAAUACGGUUUUGCUGUCACUUAUAGAUGGAUCCGCGCCGCAUUAGCUAGUUGGUCAGUUAACGGCUUACCAAGGCAACGAUGCGUAGCCGAGCUGAGAGGGUGAUCGGCCACACUGGAACUGAGACACGGUCAAGACUCCUACGGGAGGCAGCAGUAGGGAAUCUUCCGCAAUGGGCGAAAGCCUGACGGAGCAACGCCGCGUGAGUGAUGAAGGUCUUCGGAUCGUAAAACUCUGUUAUUAGGGAAGAACAAAUGUGUAAGUAACUAUGCACGUCUUGACGGUACCUAAUCAGAAAGCCACGGCUAACUACGUG